GCAGUACUGUGUGCAUAGUUCCCAUCUGUGUCUGGUGGUAUGGUGUAUUUGCGUUUUGCAUUUAGACUGUACUGCUCACAUAGAACCUGUGGCCAAAGAUUAACUUGAGAUCAUAGUACUGGUCUAGUGAAGUCUGAAAGACAAACUUACUGCUGACCAGCCUCCAAAUUCUCAAACAUCU
ensembl:snoRNA SNORA23 small nucleolar RNA, H/ACA box 23